rnacentral:tmRNA from 1 species
UGUCUCGGUUGCAUGUCGAUAAUUUCGGGUAAAUCGUAAAAGAUCCCGGAAACGUACAAUAAAUGCAAAUGAAAAUUACGCACUAGCUGCUUAAUAAAAACAAGCAGCCGAUCACGGUAGAUAAUCUGCCGGUCUUCCAGUGAUCGUCAUUGAGGCAGAGUAGUUGACCUUCAGUUCUCCUGGGAGUGUCGAUGAAAUUUUGGAGAUAGUUCUUUUAAAAUUUUGUCACUGGAAGCUUAAUUGAGCGAACUCAAAACAGUGAAUAAGCAUGUAGAGGCUGAUUCAUACGCUUUUUCGGACAGGGGUUCAACUCCCCUCAUCUCCAUUA